GACGAACGCUGGCGGCGUGCUUAACACAUGCAAGUCGAACGGAAAGGCCCCUUUGGGGGUACUCGAGUGGCGGACGGGUGAGUAACACGUGCGUAACCUGCCCUUGACUUCGGGAUAACUUCAGGAAACUGGGGCUAAUACCGGAUAGGAAUCCUUGCUGCAUGGUGGGGGUUGGAAAGCUUCGGCGGUUUUGGGUGGACUCGCGGCUUAUCAGCUUGUUGGUGGGGUAGUGGCUUACCAAGGCUUUGACGGGUAGCCGGACUGAGUGGGCGACCGGCCACAUUGGGACUGAGAUACGGCCCAGACUCCUACGGGAGGCAGCAGGGGGGAAUCUUGCACAAUGGGCGGAAGCCUGAUGCAGCAACGCCGCGGGCGGGAUGACGGCCUUAGGGUUGUAAACCGCUUUCAGCAGGGGCGAAGCUUGUGGUGACGGUACCUGCAGAAGAAGCACCGGCUAACUACGUG
rnacentral:rRNA from 1 species